UUUGGAACAGAGUUGGAAUGAUACAGAGAAGAUUAGUAUGGCCCUUGCACAAGGAUGACUCCUUGCUUUUUUUACAUGUGGUCUAGGAAU
ensembl:snRNA U6 U6 spliceosomal RNA